CCUACGGGGAGCAGCAGUGGGGAAUAUUGGACAAUGGGGGGAACCCUGAUCCAGCCAUGCCGCGUGUGUGAAGAAGGCCCUCGGGUUGUAAAGCACUUUCAGUGAGGAAGAACGCCUGGUGGUUAAUACCCAUCAGGAAAGACAUCACUCACAGAAGAAGCACCGGCUAACUCCGUGCCAGCAGCCGCGGUAAUACGGAGGGUGCGAGCGUUAAUCGGAAUUACUGGGCGUAAAGCGCGCGUAGGUGGCUUGAUAAGCCGGUUGUGAAAGCCCCGGGCUCAACCUGGGAACGGCAUCCGGAACUGUCAAGCUAGAGUGCAGGAGAGGAAGGUAGAAUUCCCGGUGUAGCGGUGAAAUGCGUAGAGAUCGGGAGGAAUACCAGUGGCGAAGGCGGCCUUCUGGACUGACACUGACACUGAGGUGCGAAAGCGUGGGUAGCAAACAGGAUUAGAUACCCUUGUAGUC
rnacentral:rRNA from 1 species